rnacentral:lncRNA from 1 species
GACACACUCAGGGGCACCGUCAAGGCGCGAAUGCUUGCGGCGCCUCAAGGGACGAGUGCACUACGUCGAAUUUUCUCGCGUGCGCAGUCGAGGGAGUAACCGUUGCAGCCAAUCCAAGGAAUCUGGGGAACCUUACGCUACUGGAAACACACACCCUGGGAGAUUAGGAAAAAGCAAACGCUCAGUUUGUGCGACGUGUGUUGUGUAACGCCCGGUCGGCUGCAUGCCAUCGGCAUGAACGCACUUACGAACGGCAUACUGAAAAACCGGGCAAGCUAGCUCUAGACUUGCUAGUAACCCACGGGUAACCUGGGCCGGAAUUCGUAUCGAGUGGAAGCUUCGAUGCAAAGGCACGGAGAAUUAGAUCCCGUGUCGUAAUAAAAGAUGCCUGUACUCUUGAUGUUGAUGGCUCUGCGUCUGAGAAGUGUUAAGCCGCCGACUCCGCACGGGUGGUGUACGUCAGUCUCCAGCAGCGGAGGACUUGAAACCCCAACCUGCAACGAUUGACUGUAACAGGACGACCGGCAGCAGCAAAAUCAAAUACCGAGGUGAAUAGAACUCCUAGGAGAGUGGACAAUCGUCGCUGGCCACGCGCGGCAAACAAGCGCAGCAGUCUGUGGACGUUCACGGCGCACAACCCCAGGAAAGAAGGGUUGUGAGACACAACUGUUCCCUGCCGCCGAACUCUCCCCGCAACAUGCCAGCGUCAGUUCGCAUCUUUCUUACCCCACCACGAUCUGUCGAAGAUCUUCUAGCGUCACUGAAAUCGAGACACCAGCGUAGCAAGAAUGCUCCAAAGAUGUAAGGGGGAUCGUGGCGUACGCUGUGCACAAAUUCAUCCGCUUGCCUUUUUUUUUCCGUUUUACCCCAAAAACCUGCGGUUCACUUUCUGCUGGCGAACUUCGUUCGCUUAGAACUCUGGUGGUGGUCUGUCUACUCGCUUUCUUUCGCGUACGCAUUAACCUUCCCUUGGCACACAGGACCACGGAAGGUAGCCGUCGAUCGGUGAUACGCGCUCUAGAGCCACAAUACGUGAAAGCCCCUAGUGCACCGAAGUUAGAGGCCCAUCUAUUUGUGCAUUGACGAACGCGGCAUCAAUGCUUUUUCCGGCCAGGACAAAACGACCGGCGAGUUUUCCAUGUGCCGGGAGAAGAUAGGGCUGUGAAUAUGGCGAAUGUUGAGUUCCAGUGUUGUGCU